rnacentral:piRNA from 1 species
UGACGAACACACACGUACAGCAGGGAAC